CAGCACGUCAAGCUGGUGUCCAGGUUCGACUCCGUGUCUUCACGCUCCUGUGCGGCGAGCAACGCGGACAGGAGGACGCAUCAGUUUUAGAAGCACCUUGCUGUCACGGUGUCACGCAUUUGCAUUCAAAUAACUUCCCCCUCCCGCAACAAAGGCGCCCGGGGGAGAUGGAUUAACACUCAUUAACUAGCGCACCCAAAAUGAAUAGAAGAGUGAGGAAGAGGAGAAGGUCGGAGCUGCAGGGAAACGCAGAGCCACAAAGUUGCGCCGCGGCGGAGUUCACCUCUUUAACGGUCAGGAUGCGCUCCGUCACUCCGCCCCCUCCUCAGCGGAUCACUGUCUCCUGACAUCAGCGGCCUCCAACUCUUCAGGCCCCCGCGAACCUGCGAGGGAGGGUGGCGCCCGUCCCUCAUUUAAAGGCACACAUAUGUGAAUAAAGCUGCUAAUCCUCCUUUAGUGUUGUACCAAAAUUCCAGGAUCUGUCUAAGAGCAGAGGACUCCUCAGGAUCCCAAUCAAGCUCCUUCCUGCAGCCUUUUAUUCCAGGGAAGCAAUUUUCCAGACAGAUCUCGGCUCAGAGAGGAGAGCAGAGAAAAAAAGAGAGCAAACGCGCGGUUGGGUUUCUCUCCAUCUCUCCAUCCUGCAGAAAAAAGAAAGAAAGAAAGAAAGAAAGAAAGAAAGAAAGAAAGAAAGAAAGAAAGAAAGAAAGAAAGAAAGAAAGAAAGAAUUUCCCAUUAAAUUCAUCGGAGGAUGUGCUCAGCGGCCUCACCUCGACAGGGUCAAACAGCAAUAAAUUACUGUUAUCAGGAGCAGGUCGCCGCCAUAUUGGCACUGGAUCAUCUCUCUUGCUCAGCAAGAAAGUUUAAGGCUGCAAGCCAAGAUGGAAACCUGGUGUGUCGAGGUGAUGCGGCGUGUGACCGGCACCAAGGUGACUGUUUGAUGGGAUUCCUGCGUGAGUCUUUUUGUCAGCCUGAGUUUUUGUCCUGAGGCUCCUCUGAGUUUUUCCCAGCCUGUCAUGUCUUCACCUGGCCUCCUGAACAUCCCCCACCACCACCACCACCACCACCACCACCACCACUGCCAGCUGUCAUGUGACCCGUCACUCUGCCCUGCCUACGGCUACACGAAUAAACUCUGAGAUGACGUUUGACUGGACAAAAUCUGGUUUAAAUAAAACAUCUGCAGGAAAAAUUGGAGGGUUAUAAUGGGAGAGCAAAAGUGUUUGCCCUCCAACACGCAGCAAUGACAAACUUAAUACAGCCAAUUAGCUUUAAAGAUCAAGCUAAUGUAGCCCUGGGUAAAACCAGGCAUGUUUAAAAAAAAGACAUCACUUAAAAUAAAGAAAGAAAUAAAUAGCAGUUAGGGCUAAAAAGAAACAGUUUAUGAUAAAUAAAUUAGUAAUUAAAAGGCCACUUCAGAUUAAAAGUAUGACGGAGUGAUUUAGUGGUAGGGGGUGAGUUCAGUGUAGUAUAUGUGUUUUCCAAGAUGCAUAUUACAUGUUUGAUGCGUUGUCUGUGAAUGUAUAUGUUAUAAUGUCCCGGGGAAACAGAAGAAAUAGACAAGUGGAACAAAAUGUAUUUUAUUUUGAAAAGCUGAUGUGCAGGUGUGGGGGAGGUGAGCGGAACAGAAAAGAAAGAAAAGAGGGGAGUCAGGAAGGAGGGAGAGAGGAGCGCGAAAAAAUGGAAAAGUUGAUCAAGUGUCAUAGAAGUUCAUCAUUAUAGUCAUUCUAGUGUUCGACCAGAACUCUUUUUGAAGACUGAGUGGUGACUUUCAAGCAAGUGUUGAGUGGAGAACUCAAUACGACAAACAGACGAAGAGGAGAGUGCAUGUAGCUGCUGACUAAGUGGCUGCUAACCCUGAACUUGGCUAACGAGCUAGCGGCUAGCAAUCUGGUGGAGCCGAGCAGAGGUGGAUCGUCGUCCGCGGUGGAGUGACCUGAGGUGGAGCUGAGUCCGGCGUUUCUUACCUUACUUUGGAUCCUCCCUUCCCCUGCUUCAGCAGUUAUUCUUCUCACCUGAGGUAACACCUGAGGCACAGCUACACUUUUGUUUUGGCCUGUAAGGUGAAGCAGCCAGUCGUUUGAGCCUACCACGUACCCGAGCUGCAACCAGGCCUGCUACGGUAACUUAAGUAUUGCCGGCUAUUUUGUUUUAUUGGGGGCCCCACAGUAACGGUUCAUUGUGCAUAUUUUGCAUAUGUGAACGAAGCCUGUUUACAAAUGUUAAUUUUCUUGAAUCUGUUUGUUGAGUAAACCUUUUUUUAUUUUAUUUUCCACUGAAACGGUAUUGGUCUUUGAAUUCCUUGGUUUAAGUUCAUUGCAGAAACCUUAUUUAUUAUUUCAUAUUUUAGAAAGAGCUCAGGUUAGCCACCUCUCAAAUAGUAAAAUACACUAGAGAGGCGCUACACUAACCUGCCAAUGA
ensembl:lncRNA